AACGAACGCUGGCGGCAGGCUUAACACAUGCGAGUCGAACGCAUCCUUCGGGGUGAGUGGCAGACGGGUGAGUAACGCGUGGGAACGUGCCCUUCAGUUCGGGAUAACCCAGGGAAACUUGGGCUAAUACCGGAUACGUGCGAGAGCAGAAAGAUUUAUCGCCGAAGGAUCGGCCCGCGUCUGAUUAGCUAGUUGGUGGGGUAAUGGCCCACCAAGGCGACGAUCAGUAGCUGGUCUGAGAGGAUGAUCAGCCACAUUGGGACUGAGACACGGCCCAAACUCCUACGGGAGGCAGCAGUGGGGAAUAUUGGACAAUGGGCGCAAGCCUGAUCCAGCCAUGCCGCGUGAGUGAUGAAGGCCUUAGGGUUGUAAAGCUCUUUCGUCCGGGACGAUAAUGACGGUACCGGAAGAAGAAGCCCCGGCUAACUUCGUGCCAGCGCCGCCGUAA
rnacentral:rRNA from 1 species